GAUGAACGCUAGCGGCAGGCUUAAUACAUGCAAGUCGAGGGGCAGCGCGGGUAGCAAUACCUGGCGGCGACCGGCAAACGGGUGCGGAACACGUACGCAACCUUCCCGAAACUGGUGAAUAGCCCUCCGAAAGGAGGAUUAAUACACCAUAACAUAGUGAAGCGGCAUCGCUUUAUUAUUAAAGUAGCAAUACGGUUUUGGAUGGGCGUGCGCCUGAUUAGAUAGUUGGCGGGGUAACGGCCCACCAAGUCUACGAUCAGUAACUGGUGUGAGAGCACGACCAGUCACACGGGCACUGAGACACGGGCCCGACUCCUACGGGAGGCAGCAGUAAGGAAUAUUGGUCAAUGGACGAAAGUCUGAACCAGCCAUGCCGCGUGAAGGAUGAAGGCCCUCUGGGUUGUAAACUUCUUUUAUAGGGGACGAAAAAAGGGAAUUCUUUCUCACUUGACGGUACCCUAGGAAUAAGCACCGGCUAACUCCGUG
rnacentral:rRNA from 1 species